rnacentral:rRNA from 1 species
UACGUAGGGCGCAAGCGUUGUCCGGAAUUAUUGGGCGUAAAGAGCUCGUAGGCGGUUCGUCACGUCGGCUGUGAAAUCCCGAGGCUCAACCUCGGGUCUGCAGUCGAUACGGGCGGACUUGAGUACUGCAGGGGAGACUGGAAUUCCUGGUGUAGCGGUGAAAUGCGCAGAUAUCAGGAGGAACACCGGUGGCGAAGGCGGGUCUCUGGGCAGUAACUGACGCUGAGGAGCGAAAGCGUGGGGAGCAAACAGG